AUGCUGAAGGACCACAUCAGCCAUGCAGUGGUGCAUGGAGGAGCGCCAAGAGGACAUAAAGUGGAAGUUUGUAAGGGACAUUGGUCCAGCGUGGUACAGAGUCAUCGUGGGUUAUUCUGUGGGGAGGUGACAGGGCCUGCCGUUCUCCAGAUGGACAGUAAAAAUCAACAGAAUGCCAUCAAAGACUACCUGGAGGGAGAAUCGGAGGACAUAUUAAAGCAAGGAAUCUCUCUGUGUAGUCUAUGUAUGUAUGUGUGUGUACUGCAUGUCAAGAACUGUUUAUCUGCUCAUUCAGCUGCUCAGACUUUAUAAUAUUUGGAGCACAUCUUUUGUUAAACACAACCAGUCAAAAGUUUUUGAACAGUAAGAUUUUUUUAUGUUUUUUAAAGAAAUAUCUUCUGCUCAUCAAGCCUGCAUUUAUUUAACCCGAAGUACAGCAAAAACAGUCCAAUUUUAAAAUAUUUGUAUAAUAUUUUUGCUAUUUAAAAUAACAAUUUUCUAUAUUUCUAUUAAAAUGAAAUUUAUUCCUGUGAUUUCAAAGGUGACUUACUCCAGUCACAUGAUCCUUCAUUCUAAUAUGCUGAUUUGAUGCUCAAAAAACAUUUUAUUAUUAUUAUUAUUAUUAUUAAUAUUAUUAUUAAUAUUAUUAUUAUGUUAAUACACUGAAGACUGGAGUAAUGAUGAAGAAAAUUCAGCUUUGAUCACAGGAAUAAACUGCAUUUUAAAAUACAUUCAAAUAUAAAGCAGUUCUUUUAAAUUGUACAAAUAUUUCACAUUACUGUUUUUGCUGUGUUUUGGAUCAAAUAAAUCCUGGCUUGGUGAGCAGAAGAGACUUUAAAAAAUAAUAAAAAUCUUACUGUUCAAAAACUGGUGGUGUAUAUUAUUAUUAUUAUUAUUAUUAUUAUUAUUUAUUUAUUUAUUUUUUUAAUUGUACAUGUAAUUAUUUUUAUAAAAUAAUAAAUAUAAAAAUAGCCAAUGAAACAAUGGAUGCCUUUUUCAUUCAUCUUUAAGUAUGUGGAGGACCUGGACAUGUUUCAUUAUCAAGUUGUGAUGAACAAGGCCUGAAGGUCAAUGUCAUGUUACUUAUAUAAUCUAUCAAUGCAAUCUUUAUUCAGCCUAAGUAUGUGUAGCCUACUGCAUAUGGGGAACUGUUGAUUCUAUCAUUCAAAUGUUAACACUUUAUGAUAAGUGGGAAUAAAUCUUUAGAAAAUUAAAUGACAAUUAUACAAUACCAACUUUUACAAUAAUUUUGCAUACUUUUACAAUACCAAAAUCUAAUUGUCCCCUUUAAAUUUGAUGCAUUUCAAUUUUGCCUUGGGUAGGUCAAAAUCGUUUUUUAAUAAAUGUGAAUUUAUCUCAUUACAUAAACCUUAACAAAAAUAAGAAACGUGUAGGCCUAUUAAGUAAACAAGGACAAUAUUAUUUUAUUUAGAUCGCAUAAACUUCCAUAAAUUGCUUCAACAUACUUCCGGGUUUCCAUGGGCGUGGCUUUUGUUUACGUCACACUUGGACGUGGGCGGGGUUGUGUCGGGGAUGGGCGUGACUUCUGACGUCACACAUGGAUGUGGGCGGGGUUGGAUGUCCACCGCAGGCUGCAGCGAGCCCUACUUGAAGGCUGCGGGUCCUGAUGGCAUUCCGGGCCGUGUGUUCCGAGCAUGCGCAUUCCAACUAGAGGGAGUUUUCACAGACAUUUUCAACCUCUCCCUCUGUCUGUCUGUGGUUCCCUCGUACUUACAAAAAUCCACCAUUGUGCCCAUACCAAAGAAAAAUAAAAUCACAAGCUUACAUGACUGGAGGCCCGUUGCUCUUACACCCAUCUUCAGCAAGUGUUUUGAGUGACUCGUCAGAGACUACAUCUGCUCUGUGCUGCCUGCCUCACUGGAUCCGCUACAAUUUGCAUAUCAUAGCAACUGUUCUACAGACGAUGCUACUGCUUUCACCCUACACACUGCUCUCUCCCACCUGGAAAAUAAGAACACCUAUGUGAGAAUGCUGUUUGUGGACUACAGCUCAGCAUUUAACACCAUAGUGCCUGCCACACUUGUUGCAAAGACAAAGCUCCAGACUCUGGGACUAAACAGAUUUCUGUGCAGCUGAAUCCUGGACUUCCUGACAGGCAGAAGUCCGGUGGUAAGAAUGGGCAACAAUACUUCAUCCCCGCUGACCCUCAACACUGGUGCUCCUCAGGGCUGUGUCCUCAGCCCACUCCUGUACUCCCUGUACACGCAUGACUGUGCAGCCACACACAGCUCCAACGUCAUUGUCAAAUUCGCUGACGACACAACGAUGGGACGGCCUACAGAGAGGUGUACAAUCAGUGUACAAACCCUAAUGCAUCAAAAUGAGAAGAAACACAUGCUAUCCUAGAUAAAUAUCCACUAUGUGCAAUAAUGACCUUUAGUCUCAUUAUUGUCAAACAUUAAUAAGACCAAUAAAUGCAACAAAUAAGUGCAUAUAUGGACAUGUAUAUCUCUCAGUUACUUUCAUUGGUAAUGUUUACAUUGUACUGUUUAUUGUUGCAAUCUGAUAUUUGAACUUGUUAUAUUUCAGGAUAUCAUGGGAUGCCUCUUUCGAAGGGAGGAGGUGUGUCUGGUCUAGCUCUUCAGUUUGAUGGAUACACUACUGUUCAGAAGCUUUGGGGUCAGUAAGAUUUGUUUUGUUUUUAAAUUAAUACAUCAAAAGUGAGAGAUAAGAAUUUUACAUUGCUAUAAACUACUGUAUGUUCUUUUGUAACUUUCUAUUAAUCAAAGUAUUGCUAUAAACUACUGUAUGUUCUUUUGAACUUUCUAUUAAUCAAAGUAUCCUGAUUUUCAAUUUCUAUAAUCCCAUUUAUAAAUGAAUAAUAUAAAUUGAGAAUCUCUGUUUUCUCCACACACAUACCUUCGUGUACCCUUAGGGUUUGGAGGAGAGAGAUGGAAUACUUCAAGGGGUAGGAAAGCAGGAUAGUGGAUGCCACAGUGGAAGAUACGUGUGCAGAAGUGUAAAGCUGUGCAGAUGGUCCUUAACCUUUGUAGCCCUUCAGUUACAGACAAGUGUCUCAUCGCAGAUGCCUGAACUUCCCCUGCUGCAGAGCGCUCUGAUAGAAGGAAUGAUUAGAUAAGACUAUUUAAUAAACUGUUUCACAAAAAAAAUGUCACGUCAAGUGUGAUUUUCAAGUAUUGAAGUAUAGAGGGUGAGGGCUAGAAAUGCAAGAAGUUUCUUCUUUUCUCAUUUAGCUACAGCAGGAUUCGGAGAAGUGAAUUUUGCAAUGGAGUAUUGUUUUUUUUGUCCUUUCUGUUUUUUAGAGAAAGAGUGGUAGCAGUGUGGACUACCUGCACCCACAUCUCCCCUUCAACACUCUUUAGCACCAACAUAUUCACUUCCAGCUUCCAGAACAUUGUGGAUGCUUAUGGUGUGGCAUGUUACAGAGAGGUUAAUCCAGGUAACUCUCACACACAGUCACAUAGAACCAGAUGCAAGUCAUUCUAGUUAAAGUUGAGAUAAACAACCUAUAGGAAGAUCCGAAUUCCCAUUGACAAAAGUAAAAAAAAAAAGUAAAAAAGGUUUUAGUUAGAAUAUAUUUAAUAUUAGACAGUAAAAAAAAAGAAAAAAAAAAAGGGUUUUAAGUUUAGUAAUAUAUUUUAUAAUAAAUUAUUUAUGUGAUGGCAAAGCUGCCUUUUCAGCAGUCAUUACUCCAGUCUUCAGUGUCACAUGAUCCUUCAGAAAUUAUUGUAAUAUGCUGAUUUGCUGCUCCAGAAACAUUUCUUAUCAUCAGUAUUGAAAACAGCUGGGAUGCUUUUUUUCCGUUCACUGAUGAAUAUAAAGUUCAAAAGAACAGCAUUUAUUUGAAAUAUAAAUCUUUUGUAACAUUAUGUCUUUAAAGGUCUUACAAAUACUUUUACUUUUGAUCAGUGUUAUGCAUUCUUGCUGAAUAAAAUAUUAAUUUCUUAAAGAAAUAAUAAUCACCCAACCUUUUGUACAGUAUCAUAUAUAUCUGCUUUCUUCGCAUCCAUCACUUCUAGAAUGCUCUUUAGGUUUGUACAGCAUUCGUUUAUUAGUUUUUUUCUGUGUGUGUGUCUUUUAGAUUUGGCAUAUGCUGUUUGGUGGGAGAUAUCUGGUGGAUGCUUAUGGUGUGGCAUGUUACAGAGAGGUUAAUCCAGGUAACUCUCACACACAGUCACAUAGAACCAGAUGCAAGUCAUUCUAGUUAAAGUUUGAGAUAAACAACCUAUGGAAGAUCCGAAUUCCCAUUGCAGUAAAAAAAAAAGAAAAAAAAAGGGUUUUGUUUGAAUAUAUUUUAUAAUAAAAUUUAUUUAUGUGAUGGCAAAGCUGCCUUUUCAGCAGUCAUUACUCCAGUCUUCAGUGUCACAUGAUCCUUCAGAAAUUAUUGUAAUAUGCUGAUUUGCUGCUCCAGAAACAUUUCUUAUCAUCAGUAUUGAAAACAGCUGGGAUGCUUUUUUUCCGUCACUGAUGAAUAUAAAGUUCAAAAGACAGCAUUUAUUUGAAAUAUAAAUCUU
rnacentral:lncRNA from 1 species